rnacentral:lncRNA from 1 species
CUAAGAAGCAGUCAGUGGGCUGAACCAGCUGUGACAGAAUGGCCUUUUUACUAACAGCAGUCUUGGUUUUCCAGACUUUACUGGACAAUUACACAGAUGACUAUCCUCCAGAAAACGCCACAGAUUUUUAUUAUCCAGAAUACGUCACAAGUUAUUAUCGUGAAUUUGAAACUUUGUUUGAAAAGAAUUUGACAGAGUCUGCAGGAUCAUCACUCCACGGCCAUCUUCCCUUCUUCUUUGUCCUUCUCCAUCUUCUAUGUUUUUUGCUACAACAAUUCACACUUCUUUUGUAGAAGAUGUGAACAGCUUUGCUUUGAAUUAGAACAUUCCUCAAGGAGGAAAACAAAGAACUCUGUCACACAUGUAAAUUACUUCCCCUACAAUGAAUCAGUCAUCUUUUUUUAGUGCAGUUUAUGUAUUUAUGUAGAAACACAAACAAAUAUAACAGCUAUGUUUCCUCAUAGGUAGUAUAAAUUGCAUGAAUGUUGACUAGCUGUUUGUAUCUUCUGUAUUUCUUCCUCUCACAUUUCCUCACUAUCAUUCACUGGGUCCUAUUGUAAAUAAGAAAUAUGUGCCAACAAAAUGAAGCACUGGCUGAUCACUCCAGAUCUUUUAGUGCUAUCUGAUGUUCUGACAUCACUGGAUCAGCUGCUGCUGUCUCCCUGGAAUGCA